AUCGCACCGUUGCCGUGUGAGUGUGUGCGCUAUUAUUAGAACGACUUACUAUUUAAUAUUAUAAUAAUAUGCUCUCGAGAACAACGACGAGCGUUAUGCGAUUAUCAUAAUCAUCACUAUAGGUGUAAAUUUUAAUAAUAAUAUAUAUAUAAUAAGCCAGGUCGCACGAACAAUCGUUAAACAUUCAAUAUAAUAAUAUGAACUCAGCGCUGAGCUAACGGUUUCUCGAAUACGAUUUGAAGCCCGACAAUCGGUCCGACGAUUUUUAGCGAAUCGUUAAAAACUAAACAUCUUUUUAUUUUUUUUUUAUGCAACUCGAAAUCAUAAUACGAGAUUAUAAAUUUUUUACAUAUUAUGUUAAGAUUUUUUUCCGCUAUUUGCUAUUUCACUUAGAUUAGAAAAUUAACUAGACUAUACUUGCGCUAGGUCUACACUCGCCUCCACUAUAUAUGUCACGAUGAGCCAUUUCAAAACAGUUGAAAAAGUUUAGUGUAAAAUACUGUUGACGCGGUUGAAGACGAUGCGACGAAAUAUUGAGGAACUACGAAAACGACACAGCAUCAGGGCCGUAUUGAGUUUUGCCAGGCCCCGGGAAAACUAAAUCUUCCGUGCCCCGUUUUUUAAGGGCUUGGGCGGCGGACAUAUGACCCGAGAAAAGCGGUCUGAAUACGGCCCUACACGGCCAAUGAGUGAAAUUUACAUGAUGUUUUGAUCAGUAGCUUCGUGUAAUAACGCAUAGUAUUGUGGCCUAUGUCCCUGUUUCGAAUUUGGAAUGUGAUCUACAAAAAUACAGACGCCUGCUACAAAGUUUGAGUAUUAAAAAAAUAUGACUUGUGUUUCAUGUGUUUGUAAGGACAACGCUACAACGAUUUUUAAAGCAUCUACUGACAAAAUAUUUUUUGAUAAAUCACGAUAACUGAUUGUCACCAUUAUUAUAUGGCGCAGGGGUGGCCAACUUGUGGCUCUUGUCAUAGA